UACGUAGGGUGCGAGCGUUGUCCGGAAUUACUGGGCGUAAAGAGCUCGUAGGUGGUUUGUCGCGUUGUUCGUGAAAACCGGGGGCUUAACCCUCGGCGUGCGGGCGAUACGGGGCAGACUGGAGUACUGCAGGGGGAGACUGGAAUUCCUGGUGUAGCGGUGGAAUGCGCAGAUAUCAGGAGGAACACCGGUGGCGAAGGCGGGUCUCUGGGACGGUACUGACGCUGGAGACGCGAAAAGCGUGGGGAGCGAACAGG
rnacentral:rRNA from 1 species